rnacentral:lncRNA from 1 species
ACAAAUCGAGAAAUGGUCCAAAUUUUUUUUGUCAUUUUUUCCUUAGUAGUUACUGUUCAUGUUCUUCGACAAGGGUAUUCAGUUUCAAGUGUAUGUGAAAACUUUGUUCCAUUUCUAGUUUAUGUUUGUGAAAGCUUAUUUGAUUUAGGAAUAUUUGUUGUCUUGGAUUUCGUCCUAAUUUUGUUUAGGGUUUAGGGUUCUGUAAGUGUUUCCGUGUAUGAUUUUAUACUUCCUAAUAACUUCAAUUAGUAACCGUUUUGAACCUCAGAAUGGUUAUAAUGGCUGUGAAUUUCUACUGGAAUUCAUCGCGUCCAAGUGUCCAACCAUUUCCGAGUAGCUAAUGAGGCUAGGCAAUGUAUCUUAUGUCAUAAUUCUUUAUAAGAUCUGUUACAUGAAUAACACAGUCAUAUGCAUGUAUCUUAAUUUCUCUAUUGAAGAACAAACACAAGGCUUCCACUUAGUGGGGUUUGCAUCCAUCAAUGACUUUGCUCGAUGUGCAAGUAUUGCAACCAGGAAUGGUAAAGCAAGAGCCGACACCAUGGCAAAGUGUCAUUACAAAUGUACUAAUGAACAAAGACAACAAUAUUCUUGAUAAGUAGACCCUUUGUAGUUUAGAUUCUCCUUGAAUCAAUUCUCACAAUCCCUGUAGGUUUUCUGUAUUUAUAUAUCUUUCUAUCUAUGCAUUGCCCAACUAUGAGGUUACGGGUUCAAAUCUUGGAAACAGUUGAUAAGGUUGUGUACAUCUAAUCUCCCGAGAUCCUACUUGGAAGCCUCAUGCAAUGGGGCUGCCCUUUUAAUGCAUUGUCCAACCAACCAUGGCAUGUUCCAACUGCAGUGAUAUUAAAAUAUCAGUUUUUUGAAUUAUAACUAGUCUAUAAUGACUUCUAUGUGCUGCUGCAGAAGAACAUUGACGCAGCUCAUCAUUUUGGACUAGUUGAAUGAAGGAUGUCUCCCAUGAAUUGGAUAAAACCUAAUGUUGAUGGCAGUUCUGUGGAAUCAUCUCACUGAAUUGGCUUUGGGGGAGCUCUUUGGAAUGCAGCAGGUUCCUGGAUUUAUGGUUUUUCAGGUUUCGCAGGCCAAGGUGAGAUUUUUUUGGUAGAGUUAUUGGCUAUUAGAAGAGGUUUCAAAAGAGUUAUUUGUGAAUCUGAUUAGUUUGAAGCAGUAUGCUUAGUUAAUAAUCUCCCUGCUUUCCUUUUCUUCCAUUUGUAUGUAGCUAUGAUGCAUAAUGUCAAGCUCUUAAUAGCUAGGAGGAUUGGGAGGUUUAAAUUAAGAAUAUUGUGAGGGAAGCAAAUUUCAGAGCACUUGAAUAGGGUAAGUUUGGUGCAACUGUAAAAUUGUUAUUUAGUGACCAUGAGGUCAUAGUUCAAAUCCUAGAAACAGACUAUCCGCUUAUGAGGUAAAGCUGCAUACAUCUACCCUCCUCAGACCUUACUUAGUGAGAGCCUCGUGCAUUGACUCACUCUUUGAAGAGUACAUCAAACUAAACAAGUAAAAGACCACAACUAAAACCAACUGCAACCAGGUUAUGCAAAAAAAGAAGAAAAGGCUUAAACUACAGCUAAGAAAAUUGUUAAAAGUAAUGCCAACUACAAGUAAGAAUGAUAAGAACAAACACAUGAAGACAAAUGUUAUCUAAAUAGCUUGGCAUAUUAUACAGAUAAACUUUGUCAAGCCUAAACUCCAAUAAAAAAAGGUUCACUACAAGAGUGAGACUUUGCAAGCCAUGUAGAAGUUUUUCCAAGUUGCAUUUCCAUAUCUACUUCUACAUAAGUCUACUCUCACUUGUGUUGUAUCUUGUAAAAACUAAACCAGGAAGGAUUUCUAUCCAUGUUUGACAUUUCUGAGAGUGAAAGUGUAGUUUUUUAUUUUACUUUAACCACAGUGCCUAAAAAACUUAGAGUUCUAUAUGCCCUUUGAUGACAUUUGGCUGCAAAUAAGUCUUAAGCUUAUAGAGCAAAUAGCUGUAACCUGCUGUCUCAUUUUCUUUGGAUCCUGAAACAAGGACUCCCACACUUUGUUUUGUUUUAGCAUUGUGUUUCUUGUUCAAAAGAACAAAUCUCAUUUAUUCUAGUAAUGGUUUUUAGUUGCAUUGUUUUUCGGAAAUAAAUAUUUUGUCAAUUAAUAUAAUUUGUAAUAUACGGACAUUGUCGGAUCCAUGUAAUGUAACCAAUGUUUAGGAUCAGUUCAAUCCAGUUCUUAGAGACUUGCUAGAUAGUGGAAAGCCUAAGAAACACAGCUGUAUCCAGGGAUUCCCAUCUUAUGUUUGCUGCAAUAAUGUAUAUGGCCUAACCUUUCAAACUAUGUUUGUUCAUGUUCAAUGCACCCUGAUCUGUCAUAGCAAAAAUGUUAUGAAUACUCAUGUUCAAUGCUGUGAAUGUUGUGGUUGUAUUCAUGGAAAAGAGGAGCAUUUUUAAGAAGCUUUAUUGAUAAUCCUGCUAUGAGUUUC